rnacentral:rRNA from 1 species
GUAUGUGGUUUAAUUCGAUGCAACGCGAAGACUUACCUGGUCUUGACAUCCCGGAGACCCUUAGGAAACUAGGGGGUGCCUUUCCAUCUGGAAGAAUCUGGAGACAGGUGCUGCAUGGCUGUCGUCAGCUCGUGUCGUGAGAUGUUGGGUUAAGUCCCGCAACGAGCGCAACCCUUGCCUUUAGUUGCCAGCAGUUCGGCUGGGCACUCUAAAGGGACUGCCGGUGUUAAACCGGAGGAAGGUGGGGAUGACGUCAAGUCCUCAUGGCCUUUAUGACCAGGGCUACACACGUACUACAAUGGCCGAUACAAAGGGCAGCGACACUGCGAGGUGAAGCCAAUCCCGUAAAAUCGGUCUCAGUCCGGAUUGGAGUCUGCAGCUCGACUCCAUGAAGUUGGAAUCGCUAGUAAUCGUGGAUCAGCAUGCCACGGUGAAUACGUUCCCGGGCCUU